rnacentral:rRNA from 1 species
AUUGAACGCUGGCGGCAGGCCUAACACAUGCAAGUCGAGCGGAUGAAGGGAGCUUGCUCCUGGAUUCAGCGGCGGACGGGUGAGUAAUGCCUAGGAAUCUGCCUGGUAGUGGGGGAUAACGUCCGGAAACGGGCGCUAAUACCGCAUACGUCCUGAGGGAGAAAGUGGGGGAUCUUCGGACCUCACGCUCUCAGAUGAGCCUAGGUCGGAUUAGCUAGUUGGUGGGGUAAAGGCCUACCAAGGCGACGACCCGUAACUGGUCUGAGAGGAUGAUCAGUCACACUGGAACUGAGACACGGUCCAGACUCCUACGGGAGGCAGCAGUGGGGAAUAUUGGACAAUGGGCGAAAGCCUGAUCCAGCCAUGCCGCGUGUGUGAAGAAGGUCUUCGGAUUGUAAAGCACUUUAAGUUGGGAGGAAGGGCAGUAAGUUAAUACCUUGCUGGUUUGACGUUACCAACAGAAUAAGCACCGGCUAACUUCGUG